UUCCGGUUGAUCCCGCCGGACCUGACUGCUAUUGGAGUAGGACUAAGUCACGCUAGUCAAAGGUGCAGAAUGGAGCACCUGGCGUACGGCUCAGUAACACGUAGUCAACCUACCCUAAGGACGAUGACAACCACGGGAAACUGUGGAUAAUCUUCGAUAGGAAAUUUGGCCUGGAACGGUAUCUUUCCUAAAACCGGCUCGCCGUGAGACACGGGCCUUAGGAUGGGGCUGCGGCCGAUUAUGCUUGAUGGCGGUGUAAAGGACCACCAUGGCGACGAUCGGUAUGGGCAAUGGAAGUUGGAGCCCAGAGUCGCUAACUGAGACAAGGUAGCGAGCCUUACGAGGCUUAGCGGUCGCGAAAACUCGCCAAUGCACGAAAGUGUGAGUGGGCUACUCCAAGUGUCAUUCUUACGGAUGACUGUCGCUCAGUAUUACAAGCUGAGAAAGGAAGGAGAGGGCAAGGCUGGUGCCAGCCGCCGCGGUAAAACCAGCUCUUCGAGUGGUCAGGACGAAUAUUGGGUCUAAAGCGCUCGUAGCCGGACAUGUAGGUUCCUGGUUAAAUCCGACAGCAUAACUGUCGACCUGCUGGGAAUACCGCAAGUCUUGGGAGCGGGAGAGGAUAGAGGUAGUCAUAGGGCAGGGGUGAAAUCCAGUGAUCCUAUGGCGACCACCGGUGGCGAAGGCAUCUAUCUGGAACGUCUCCGACGGUGUGGGGCGAAAGCUAGGGGAGCGACCCGGAUUAGAUACCCGGUUAGUCCUAGCCGUAAACGAUGCCGACUAGGUGUUGCGACGGCCAAGAGCCGUUGCGGUGCCACAGCGAAGCGUUAAGUCGGCCACCUGGGGAGUACGGUCGCAAGACUGAAACUUAAAGGAAUUGACGGGGGCGCACCACCAGGAGUGAAGCCUGCGGUUUAAUUGGAUUCAACGCCGGAAAUCACUAGUGCGGCCGC
rnacentral:rRNA from 1 species